UCUAACUGGACCUAUUUGUGGGCUAUGGGGAACACGUCAGGACUGAAAAGAGGCUCCACUUUCUCCUUCCUGAAUGGAAUGGACAUGUUCAACCUAUGGUGGGCAGCAGCAGGAGUGUGCUCCCUGGUUGCUGAGGGUGUGGCGCCAUGGCGGGAACAUCAUACUGUCUCAAGGGCAACCCCUGUCCAUGUAAAUGAGGGACGCCUGUCUGCAGAACAUCACCCGAGGGUGCUGACUGGAGCUGAGAUCUUUAAGAGCAGAAGGAUCAGGACCGACGCUGAGCCUGCAGUCUCCAGGUGUGAGGGGAGAGCAUGGUGUUCCAAGCAAAUAAAGAGAUCCCAGCAGACACCUGGAAGAGAUUCAGACAAACCAUCGUGUUAAACUCUGUGCCACUGCAUCACCUGCCUCAGACCCAGCAGUGCAGGGAGCUCCACACCAUCUCUGUCUGCAUGCAUGCCAGUGGUGCCACCUCAUGGGGACAAGCAAGUACCUGAGCUAGUUGGGCAGGCUGGCACAAGGCCAGCCUUUGGGUGACAGAGAGAAGGAAGUAUGCCAUAGAGAAGAACUCUGAUGUGUUCUCUUGUAAGGGUCUCUGGAGCCCUGCACUGACCUCACAGGACUCUCCUUCUGCUUUGGUGGUAAUUGAUCAUCAAACAGGUCUAAAUUAGUGUUGACAGAAAAUCAGGGGCUCAUUCUGCAUCAACUUUCAUAGUAUGUAGAUUCACCUUUCUACCUUAAAUAAGAUAACGUAGUGACUUUCCCA
rnacentral:lncRNA from 1 species